rnacentral:rRNA from 1 species
CCUACGGGAGGCAGCAGUGGGGAAUAUUGCACAAUGGGCGCAACCCUGAUGCAGCGACGCCGCGUGAGCGAAGAAGGCUUUCGGUAUGUAAAGCUCUAUCAGCAGGGACGAAGAAAGACGGUACCUGACUUAGAAGCACCGGCUAACUACGUGCAAGCAGCCGCGGUAAUACGUAGGGGGCCAGCGUUGUCCGGAUUUACUGGGUGGAAAGGGAGCGUAGACGGUAAGGCAAGCCAGCAGUGAAAGGGCAGGGCUCAACCCUGGACAUGCUUUUGGGACUGUGCUGCUAGAGUGCAGGAGAGGUAAGUGGAAUUCCUAGUGUAGCGGUGAAAUGCGUAGAUAUCAGGAGGAAUACCAGUGGCGAAGGCGGCGUACUGGACGGUAACUGACGUUGAGGUGCGAAAGCGUGGGGAGCAAACAGGAUUAGAUACCCUUGUAGUC